rnacentral:rRNA from 1 species
GAAGAGAUUUGGGAGUGCUCGCAAGAGAACCGGAACACAGGUGCUGCAUGGCUGUCGUCAGCUCGUGUCGUGAGAUGUUGGGUUAAGUCCCGCAACGAGCGCAACCCUUGUCAUUAGUUGCCAUCGAUUUGGUUGGGCACUCUAAUGAGACUGCCGGUGACAAACCGGGAGGGAAGGUGGGGAUGACGUCAAGUCCUCAUUGGCCCUUAUGGGUAGGGCUUCACACGUCAUACAAUGGUCGGUACAGAGGGUUGCCAACCCGCGAGGGGGAGCUAAUCCCACAAAGCCGAUCGUAGUCCGGAUCGCAGUCUGCAACUCGACUGCGUGAAGUCGGAAUCGCUAGUAAUCGUGGACCAGCAUGUCACGGUGAAUACGUUCCCGGGUCUU